rnacentral:rRNA from 1 species
GAUGAACGCUAGCGGCAGGCCUAAUACAUGCAAGUCGAACGGAUAUAUGUUUUUCGGAAUAUAUAUUAGUGGCGCACGGGUGAGUAACACGUACAUAACUUGCCCUCAAGCGGGGGAUAGCCUUGGGAAACUGAGAGUAAUACCCCAUAGAAUUAUUGGACGGCAUCGUUUGAUAAUUAAAACUACGGUGCUUGGGGAUAGAUGUGCGUCUGAUUAGCUAGUUGGUGAGGUAACUGCUCACCAAGGCGACGAUCAGUAGGGGGCGUGAGAGCGUGGCCCCCCACACGGGUACUGAGACACGGACCCGACUCCUACGGGAGGCAGCAGUAAGGAAUAUUGGUCAAUGGAGGGAACUCUGAACCAGCCAUGCCGCGUGAAGGAUGACGGCCCUCUGGGUUGUAAACUUCUUUUGGAUUGGGGGCGAAAAAACGGGUUUAUCCUGGACUGACGGUACCAUCAGAAUAAGCACCGGCUAACUCCGUGCCAGCAGCCCGCGGUAAAAACCCCGAGAGUA